UUGAUUUGUUAGUUAUUUCAGAGUGCUUAUCCGCGCCUACGUAUUCCGUUUUUAUUAUCGUAUCAGUAUAUACAUAUCAUUAUACAGUAUCAUUUAAUCACGUAAUUGAUACUGUAGCUAAGAGGCGUAUACAUAGUCUUAGUUUAUAUAGUGCUAAAGAAAUUGUUGUGUUUCCGGUAAACAGCCUAGCCGUCAAAGUGCCAAGUCUAUAAGGCCGCUAAUCUGGAGGUCCGGAAUUCCUGUCGGCUCGGUAAAAAGGCUUAUUACAACAGAUAGGAAAAUCGGGGUUCGAUGAUACGCUGAUGGGUACUAUUAGGUAUUAGCUCUGACCUGGUGCAUGGAGUACACAGCUAGCACGACUAACACGUGCAUGAUGUUGUGCGAAUUGAGGCAGCGGUCCACAGAUCCCGGGAACCAUUUCUCCGGGAUAUGUAGUGCUCCGAUAACACCACCGCCCAAGGAUACUGCAUCCUGGAAUAUAAAUAUAAAUUUUCUUUAAAAAUCGAUCAUUAGUUUACAUAUUGCAUAAAUUACUGAUAAUAAGGCAUGGGACCUAGAUUGUUAAUGCAAAACGUUGCAGAUCCUCAUAAAGCACUUCUAUGUUUUUCGAGUACUUUAUCUUUAAUUUGCAUUUACCUAAAUGUAUCUUAUGCUAAGCUCCAAAAGAUUUUUAUUAUAAUUUUAAACUCCCGGCAAAUAAAACUUGAGUUUUAUUCCUAA